GAGAAUGGGGGGGGCGCUCAGAAAACAUAGUCUUGGCAGCACCCUUUCUUCCCUUUACUUUGGCUACCAAACUCUAAAACCCCAGAUUUUUGGACAGCUUAAGGUGAAUACCCUAGGUACCUGUUACUGGUAACAUGGUACCCAGUACCACCAGGAUGCUGUGCGAGCUUAGAAACUAAAGAAGCAUGGAGAUGGCUAAGCAGCGCACGGUGCUGCACUCAGGAAAGGAGAGGCCUCUGUACUUCACUUCCUGACCCGUUACUUUUGCAACACUGAGGACGGACGGGUACUGGAAAACCUUGGAUAUGAUUUGUAUUCAGUAAGAAAACUGACUCUCACUUGGGAAGUGACCAGGUUACUGAGAUGGCUUGAAAGGGGGCAGGGUGGUACAAUUAACAAGAAUCUUGGAAGUGACCUCUCUUUGCUCCCUGAGGCAAGUAAGAAAAUCUAGUGUGCCCCACAAGCUGGAAUCCUGACAGAUUAUACCACACGGGAGAAAUAACAGGAAGUGUGCCUCAAAUCAGCAGGCCAGCCAUGGUGGACAUCUGAAUUGCAUCCCAGAGAGGCUGGGGCAGAACUGUGGGGAGGAAAAGAAAGUCAACUGAAUGCUUCUAGGCUUUCCACACCCGCACCCCCACCCCACUCCCCUCCUUCUUGUCUUUUUUUUUUUUUUUUCAACUUUAAAGACUGGAUUUGGAAGAAAAAAAAACCCAAAACCCUUAACCCAAAUGAUGGGAUUUUACAUCUCAAGACAUCUCCAAAAUAAUGUCUACCGAUUACAAAUCAUUUUCAUAGAAAUUUUUUUGCACAAAUUCUACAUGUAUUCAGGAGCAGGACAUAAGUCAUCACUGCUUUUAUUUAACAGAGAUCAAAGUAGGAGAUGAGGCUACAACAGCCUUCUUUUGGCAAGGGAAAGUGUCUACAACCAAUGGUUUUUAAAAACUCAUUCAACUAUGGGUAUCUCUCUAAAAAGCCUACUUCCUAGCUAUUGGCCAAUCAAGUCCACUGGAUAAGCAAUUUGCUGUGCCCACGGCUGCAGCACGCUGUACCAAGGCUUGCACACUAAGACUAAGGUAUUGUUUAACUGCAGGCACCCUGACUUCCUGCAACAGGAAAACUUGCCAUCUUUGGAACUGACCCCUACAGUGGUGCAUAUCAAAAUAGACAGGUCAGGGUCCUAUAUUCCAGGAGAAGCCAGGACUCUCUUCAAUAGUUCUUUGCAUUAUUCUUUAUUCUCAAGGGAAGUUAAGAAACCCACCCUCCUAAGCAGAAAGCCACACAGAGUAAGUCAACCCAUGCACCAGCAUGGGGUUC
rnacentral:lncRNA from 1 species